UACGAAGGGGGCUAGCGUUGUUCGGAAUUACUGGGCGUAAAGCGCACGUAGGCGGAUACUUAAGUCAGGGGUGAAAUCCCGGGGCUCAACCCCGGAACUGCCUUUGAUACUGGGUAUCUCGAGUCCGGGAGAGGUGAGUGGAACUGCGAGUGUAGAGGUGAAAUUCGUAGAUAUUCGCAAGAACACCAGUGGCGAAGGCGGCUCACUGGCCCGGUACUGACGCUGAGGUGCGAAAGCGUGGGGAGCAAACAGG
rnacentral:rRNA from 1 species